AUUUCUUCAACAAUAUAAAAGCUCAAAAAUUACAGUAGGUGCCACAAGAUUAUAAAUCCAAAUUUCUUUGUAAGUUCCUGCUGCUCCUACUGUCCCACAGUCCUCACUGUGUUGUUUUUAUUGUUUUGCAACUCAAUAAUCAAACAUAUCAUAUCAUGUUAAGAUAGGAUGCUGAGCAAGACUCAAUUGAUUUGGUCAAUGACGUGGACACCUAUGGUGAUGGGGAAGAAGAAGACGACGUUGCAAAUGAUAAGGAUAGCGCAGGUGUGUUUCAAUCAGUCACAAGCACUUUUGGGAACGGCAACAUCGGGUUGGAAAAAUCAGAUCUGGCAAAGGAUGGAGACAAUUAUCAGGUGGUGUGCUGCUUCAAUCAGAAGAUUUGAAUAAUUUUCAUAAUUUUUUAAUAAUUGAUAACGUGUAAGUUUAAGAUUAAUUUCACUAUAUAUUGUAUUUUAAUUUUUUUAUAAUCAUGAAUUAAUUAUUUUAAUUUGAUUAGUUACUAAGUGGUGCAUAAAUAAUUUUUUUAAAAUGCUAAAAUCAUAUUUAGAUUAGUCCAACGAUUUAGAAAGGUUUAUUCACUUUAAUUUAUCUUCAUUUUUAUUUUAUUUUAAAGUAUUAUGAAUUUUAUGAAUUUUAAUUCACAUUGAGAAAAUAUAGAUACACAACUGACUAAGUUUGCAUUCAUGCAUAGUGAAACAAAUUCAUAUAUAAUUUUUGAUAAUGAAGAUCAAUAAAGUAAAAAACCAUAAUGAAUCUAUAAAAUCAAUGAAGAUAAACUUUUAAAGAACCAUCUUAACUUAAAGGUUUAAACUAUUAGAUAGAUAAGGUUCUAAAAUAUGAUUUACAUUAUUUUAUAACACAAGUAAAAACCUUUUGGAUUUAAAACUUUCACAUACUCACACUACCUUGUGCUAUUAUUAAUUUUGAUCUUAAAAGAACAAAGAUAAUGAAAUUCGAACUCGUGACAUUUAGAUCGAUAAUACUCUGAUAUCAUAUUAAAAAAUCAUUUUAAUCUAAAACUUUAAUUCUUAGAUUACAUCUUAAUAUAUAAUUUAUAUUAUUUUCUAAUAUAAAAUAUGAAAGAGAUGUGAUUAAUUUCUCAUUUUAUAAGUUAUUAAAUUUAAUAUAAAAAAUUCCCUCCACAUUGAUUCCAAACUAAUAUAUCCUAUUUCCGACCUAGGCAAUGGAGUAAUUAAAAAGAAAUUACGUAGACAGUUGCAGAUAAGCUUGCAUUAAUUGGAUGUUAAUCUAGCGUCUUAUACGCUGUAGGAUAGACAUGUGGCAUCGAGUUAUCGGCCCAGGGAGGAAGCCCAUUAAGCAUGUUGGCCCAGGUAGGAAGUCCAUUAAGCAUGUUGUUUGUUAAAAAUCUAAGCAGG
rnacentral:lncRNA from 1 species